GCCAAGAUGGCUUAGUGGUUAAAGCACCUCCCUAAUAAGCAGGAGACCUAGGUUCGAUUCCUGCCCUUGGUA